AUUGAACGCUGGCGGCAGGCCUAACACAUGCAAGUCGAACGAGUGGCGGACGGGUGAGUAAUGUCUGGGAAACUGCCUGAUGGAGGGGGAUAACUACUGGAAACGGUAGCUAAUCCCGCAUACAAUCAGAUGUGCCCAGAUGGGAUUAGCUAGUUGGUGGGGUAAAGGCUCACCAAGGCGACGAUCCCUAGCUGGUCUGAGAGGAUGACCAGCCACACUGGAACUGAGACACGGUCCAGACUCCUACGGGAGGCAGCAUGGGGGAAUAUUGCACAAUGUGCGCAAGCCUGAUGCAGCCAGGCCGGGUGUAUGAAGAGGGCCUUCGGGUUGUAAAGUACUUUCAGCGGGGAGGCGUUACCCGCAGAAGAAGCACCGGCUAACUCCGUGCCAGCAGCCGCGGUAAUUC
rnacentral:rRNA from 1 species